CUGGCCCAGUGUGGACAGUUGGAGGCUCAAGUUCAUACAUUGUGCUAUUAUUCUGUGUGGAACAGAGAUCCAGCUUGUUCAAAAGGAGACCAUUAUCUGACUGCCUGAAUAGAUCCCAUUGCAGGAAAAAUUGACUGAAAUAUUGUCAAAUGUGUUCCAGCAAUAAAAUUCAGAUGUUGUAUAUGCUACAAAGAAGAUAGUGACUGCUGAAUACAGACAAAUGGGAGAAGAAAGCAGUUUGGCCCAGAGGAAGAACACACAGUGGAGAUAAAGAGAUGUGUGCCAAGAAAGGCGAAUAUUCAGAUCAGAUGGGAUGCAGAUGAACAUCUGUGGAGACCCAUGAAUGAAGAAGAGAGAAGCAGAGGGAAAGAAAGAAACUGAUUGAAAAGAUGCAGUCAAAAUGGGCGGUGGGAAAGAGAAGGAGGAUUCAACUGGCUAAUAAUUUCAUUUUCUUCUUAUAAGUACAUUCUUCAUUCCAUGUUUUGAAUUGAGCCUGAAUCAGAAUGCUUUCUCUUUUUGGAGACAUGUAUCCAGAG
rnacentral:lncRNA from 1 species